rnacentral:rRNA from 1 species
UACGUAGGGUGCGAGCGUUGUCCGGAAUUAUUGGGCGUAAAGAGCUCGUAGGCGGUUUGUCGCGUCGACUGUGAAAACCUACAGCUUAACUGUGGGCGUGCGGUCGAUACGGGCAUCACUGGAGUUCGGCAGGGGAGACUGGAAUUCCUGGUGUAGCGGUGGAAUGCGCAGAUAUCAGGAGGAACACCGGUGGCGAAGGCGGGUCUCUGGGCCAUUACUGACGCUGAGGAGCGAAAGCGUGGGGAGCGAACAGG